rnacentral:misc_RNA from 1 species
GAUGAAGAACGUAGCGAAAUUCGAUAACUAAUGUGAAUUGCAGAAUUCAGUGAAUCAUCGAGUCUUUGAACGCACAUUGCGCCCCCUGGUAUUCCGGGGGGCAUGCCUGUCCGAGCGUCAUUGCUGCCCUCAAGCACGGCUUGUGUGUUGGGCUCCGUCCCCCCGGGGACGGGCCCGAAAGGCAGCGGCGGCACCGAGUCCGGUCCUCGAGCGUAUGGGGCUUUGUCACCCGCUCUGUAGGCCCGGCCGGCGCCAGCCGACAACCCAUCAUCCUUUUCAGGUUGACCUCGGAUCAGGUAGGGAUACCCGCUGCACUUAAGCAUAUCAAUAAGCGGAGGA